CAUGCGAGAAGCGCCGACCUCGCGGGAGGCGUGCAUUUAUCAGACCAAAAACCGGCCGCGUCUUCGGGCGCGUUCGCCUUGGUGACUCUGGAUAACUUUGCGGAUCGCACGGUCUAGCACCGGCGACGGAUCAUUCAAGUGUCUGCCCUAUCAACUUUCGUCGGUACGGUAUUUGCCUACCGAGGUUCUUACGGGUGACGGGGAAUCAGGGUUCGAUUCCGGAGAGGGAGCCUGAGAAACGGCUACCACAUCCAAGGAAGGCAGCAGGCGCGCAAAUUACCCAUUCCCGACGCGGGGAGGUAGUGACGAAAAAUAACAAUGCAGGACUCGUUCGAGGCCCUGUAAUUGGAAUGAGUACACUUUAAAAGCUUUAACGAGUAUCCAUUGGAGGGCAAGUCUGGUGCCAGAAGCCGCGGUAAUUCCAGCUCCAAAAGUAUAUAUUUAAGUUGUUGCGGUUAAAAAGCUCGUAGUUGGAUUUUGGGCGCAGGCGGCCGGUCCGUCGCAAGGCGUGUACUGGACGUCCUGGCCUUCCCUCCGGUUCUCCGCCGGUGCUCUUGACUGAGUGUCGGCGGCGGCCGGAACGUUUACUUUGAAAAAAUUAGAGUGUUCAAAGCAGGCUCUCGAGCCUGGAUAAUGGUGCAUGGAAUAAUGGAAUAGGACCUCGGUUCUAUUUUGUUGGUUUUCGGAGCGCGAGGUAAUGAUUAAGAGGGACAGACGGGGGCAUUCGUACUGUGCCGUUAGAGGUGAAAUUCUUGGAUCGGCGCAAGACGAACGACUGCG
rnacentral:ncRNA from 1 species